AAAGGGCUUAUGGCAAUUAAACUAGAUAUGAGUAAAGUAUACGACAGGGUUGAGUGGAAGUUUGUAGAAGGAGUGAUGAAGAAAAUGGGUUUUGAUCCAGAUUGGGUGGAUUCAUUAAUGAAGUGCGUAACGACAGUAUCAUACUCCGUAGUUUUUAAUGGUUUUACUGGUCAAUACUUUACCCCUUCUAGAGAUCUUAGACAGGGCGAUCCUUUUAAGUCCUUUUUUGUUUCUAUUUUGUGGGGAAGGAUUAUCUAGCCUUAUAAGGUCAGCAAUGAAAAAAAAGUUUAAUAGAGGGGUGAAGGCGAGCAGAAAUGGAACACAGAUCUCACAUUUAUUAUUUGCAAACAACUGUAUUUUGUUUGGAGAGGCCACUGAAAGAAGAGCAGUUUAUCUGAAACAGAUUCUACAUGAGUAUGAGAAAUGUUCUGGUCAAAGUGUUAAUUAUGCUAAAUCGACUAUUUUCUUCAGUUCCAAUACGCAAGAAGGAGAGAAAAGAGUUGUUACUAGGGUGCUCGGAGUACGCAGCUCAAAUAAUCCAGAGAGAUAUCUAGGUUUACCUAAUUUAGCGGGGAGAAAGAAGAAAGAGUCUUUUCAAAGCCUAAAGGAUAGAUUACUACAACGAAUUGAUAAUUGGAGUAUAAAGCAUCUUUCGCAAUGAGGAAAUGAGGUUUUUAUUAAGGCAGUUCUCCAAUCCAUUCCAACCUACUCAAUGGCGUGUUUUUUACUUCCAAAAACCCUUUGUUCUGAAUUAGAAGGUAUAAUAGCAAAAUUUUGGUGGCAGAAAAAUCGAGGUAAAAAAGGCAUUCAUUGGUGUGCUUGGAAGGAUAUGUGUGCAUUAAAAGAUAUAGGAGGUAUUGGCUUUCGAAAACUUGAUAAAUUUAACGUUGCAUUACUAGCUAAACAGGGUUGGUGUUUGAUUAAUUAUCAUUUUUCCUUGUUAGCUCGAGUUUUAAAAGCGAAAUACUAUCCGUCCUCUAAUUUUUUAAAAGCUCAAUUAGGAAAUUCACCUUCACUUACCUGGAAAAGUGUGUGGGCAACUAAAGGACUUUUGGAGAAAGGAUUGUGCUGGAGAGUCGCGAAGGGAGAUCGCAUUUCUAUCUGGUCUAACAUCUGGAUACCGAAUGUUGAGGAAAAUAGAUUGCAGAAUCAAAUAAGCAAUGUUAAUAUUGAGUUUGUUUCAGAUUUGAUUGAUGAAAAGAGUAGAUCAUGGAAAACAAAGUUAUUGGUUAAUACCUUUCACACAGAGAUUGUUAAAAAAAUCAUGCAGAUUCUAUUGGCAAGGGCUGUGCACGACUAUUUCCAAGUAUAGGGAGGGGAACCAUCCGGUAAUUUUUCCGUUAGAAGUGCCUACAAACUAUUACAAAGGGCUACACUGGUUCUUAGUAAUAAUAAUUUACAGGCCGAGAUUAAAACUUUCUACAGAAAACUAUGGAACCUACAUGUUCCUUCAAAACUCAAAAUUACAGUCUGGAAAAUUUCCUGGAACUACAUCCCUACUCUUGCUAAUCUUAAGAUAAAACGAGUUGCAGUGGAGACUCAAUGCCCCAGUUGUCAUCGGAAUGAAGAAGACAGUAUUCACAUUUUUCGGCAAUGUCCUACAACGGAGGAAGUAUGGAGAAAUUUACAAUUUUCUUGGGUGUUUAAUUGUAACAAUCAGGAAAUUUGGGAAUGGCUUACUUGGGUUUUCAACCGGGGAACAAGCGAACAGUGUCGUCUUUUUUGCUGUGGAUUAUGGAUCAUCUGGACAAGUAAAAAUAAGCUCCUUUAUGAAAAUUGAAACACAACAAGUUUAGAUAUUUCUAAUCACAUAAUUAGUUACGUUUCGGAGUUGAAAGGUUUAAAUGAGAAAAUACUUAGCUUUGAUUCUGACAUAGAUCUCAACCAUGAUGAACAAAGAAUGUGUCCAGCCAUCUACUUUGAUGCGGCUUCCGACCAAAAGCUUUUUAGAUCGGCUUCGGGUUUGAUUGUACGUGCGAUGGAUGGGGAAAUCUUGGCUUCUAAAUCGGUACUUCACUCUGAAGUUGCAUCACCGUUUGCGGCGGAGGCUUUUGCAGGCCUAGAUGCAAUGAGAUUAGGUAGUUCCAUGGGUUUUAAUGCAUGCAUGAUUCUGGGUGAUUCUAAAACAGUUAUCAAGAAAUGUCAAAGUGCAGAUUAUGAUAGAUCGGUCAUUGGAGCACUCAUCAGAGAUAUCCAACUCUUAAAAAUACACUUUCAAGACUUGGGGUUUCUUUUCAUCCCAAAAUCAGAAAAUCUCUUUGCUCACUUUACUGCUAGAAAAACAUUGAAAGAAAAUGAAAAUCAUUACCUAGAGGCAGGCGUCUCAAGCUGGGUUCAAAGAGAAGUGGAGAGGCUAAAGUCGAGAGCUCCAGAUUGAAGAAUAAGAAAUGACUUUUUUGAGAACUUGUAGGAGAAGAUAAAAUAUUUAAGGAGAUUUGAUCACUCUGCUAUUUCAAACAGUUGUGAUGGUUCAGAUGAUAGGAGAAGACAUUAAGAGGGCAGCUAUUGAUGUCGACCGGCAUUAAAAGGAGUAGGUUUCCAAUUUCUGUUCAGUUUAUUUUAUUUAUGGGCAGUUUUGUUUUGCUUUAUUUAGGUUUUUUAGCUUAUUGGACUUGCUUUGUUUAGACCCAAGUUCAAGUUGCAGGAGAUCAUUUGUUCUUUUUACAGUUCUUAUUAUUUUAAUAAAACCAGUCGAUUUAGUAAAAAAAAAAAACUUACACAACCAAAAUCAAAUAAACUAAUUAUUGUUUAUCGUGUCAAUUUUUUAACCUUUUAUAUUAAAAAAUUCUAUUGUUAAUAUAUUAAAAAAUUAUUCUUAUUUUAAAUUAAAAUUAGAUUGAAAUCAAAUUUAAAUUUAAUGAUGUAUUAUCUAGGGUAAGGUAGAAUAUGAC
rnacentral:lncRNA from 1 species